AUUGAACGCUGGCGGCAUGCCUAACACAUGCAAGUCGAACGAGUGGCGGACGGGUGAGUAAUGUCUGGGAAACUGCCUGAUGUAGGGGGAUAACUACUGGAAACGGUAGCUAAUACCGCAUACCAUCAGAGGUGCCCAUAUGGGAUUAGCUGGUUGGUGGGGUAACGGCUCACCAAGGCGACGAUCAGUAGCUGGUCUGAGAGGAUGACCAGCCACACUGGAACUGAGACACGGUCCAGACUCCUACGGGAGGCAGCAGUGGGGAAUAUUGCACAAUGGGCGCAAGCCUGAUCCAGCCAUGCCGCGUGUAUGAAGAAGGCCUUCGGGUUGUAAAGGACUUUCAGCAGGGAGGCGUUACCCGAAGAAGAAGCACCGGCUAACUCCGUGCCAGCAGCCGCGGUAAUAC
rnacentral:rRNA from 1 species